rnacentral:rRNA from 1 species
AUUGAACGCUGGCGGCAGGCCUAACACAUGCAAGUCGAACGGUAACAGGAAACAGCUUGCUGUUUCGCUGACGAGUGGCGGACGGGUGAGUAAUGUCUGGGAAACUGCCUGAUGGAGGGGGAUAACUACUGGAAACGGUAGCUAAUACCGCAUAACGUCGCAAGACCAAAGAGGGGGACCUUCGGGCCUCUUGCCAUCGGAUGUGCCCAGAUGGGAUUAGCUAGUAGGUGGGGUAACGGCUCACCUAGGCGACGAUCCCUAGCUGGUCUGAGAGGAUGACCAGCCACACUGGAACUGAGACACGGUCCAGACUCCUACGGGAGGCAGCAGUGGGGAAUAUUGCACAAUGGGCGCAAGCCUGAUGCAGCCAUGCCGCGUGUAUGAAGAAGGCCUUCGGGUUGUAAAGUACUUUCAGCGGGGAGGAAGGGAGUAAAGUUAAUACCUUUGCUCAUUGACGUUACCCGCAGAAGAAGCACCGGCUAACUCCGUGCCAGCAGCCGCGGUAAUACGGAGGGUGCAAGCGUUAAUCGGAAUUACUGGGCGUAAAGCGCACGCAGGCGGUUUGUUAAGUCAGAUGUGAAAUCCCCGGGCCCAACCUGGGAACUGCAUCUGAUACUGGCAAGCUUGAGUCUCGUAGAGGGGGGUAGAAUUCCAGGUGUAGCGGUGAAAUGCGUAGAGAUCUGGAGGAAUACCGGUGGCGAAGGCGGCCCCCUGGACGAAGACUGACGCUCAGGUGCGAAAGCGUGGGGAGCAAACAGG